CAGGAGGUGAUGGUUGAGACUAUAGUGGAGUUGUUAGAACCUGCUCCCCAUGAAGCUCUGUGUACUCCAGGACUGCAGCUCGUCCUCCCUCACAGAGGCAGUUCACACACUGCCCCUCCUGCUUCCACAAGCUCCUGCAGUCCGGGAUUGUCAGCACUUUCCACAUUUGGUCAUGUGACCAGUGACGUCACAGCCCUCCUUCUCACAACUCCACUCUAGCAUCUACCGAGGUGAGAUCUGCAGGUUCCUUAGGUUCAGGAUUCUCUUCUUUUGAAAGACUAUGGUCCUUUCCAUCAAUGAUGACCCACCAAGGAUGGAGAAGGACAGAAACCACAUGGCUGCAAGGAUAUUAGACCUCACCCUGGAGAUCAUCUUCUUGAUAACUGGAGAGGAUUACAAGGUAGUAA